rnacentral:rRNA from 1 species
AUUGAACGCUGGCGGCAUGCCUUACACAUGCAAGUCGAACGGCAGCACGGGAGCAAUCCUGGUGGCGAGUGGCGAACGGGUGAGUAAUAUAUCGGAACGUGCCCAGUCGUGGGGAUAACGUAGCGAAAGCUACGCUAAUACCGCAUACGAUCUAUGGAUGAAAGCGGGGGAUCGCAAGACCUCGCGCGAUUGGAGCGGCCGAUAUCAGAUUAGGUAGUUGGUGAGGUAAAGGCUCACCAAGCCGACGAUCUGUAGCUGGUCUGAGAGGACGACCAGCCACACUGGGACUGAGACACGGCCCAGACUCCUACGGAGGCAGCAGUGGGGAAUUUUGGACGAAUGGGCGCAAGCCUGAUCCAGCAAUGCCGCGUGCAGGAUGAAGGCCUUCGG